rnacentral:lncRNA from 1 species
ACUAUUCCAAAAACAUAUUAUGAAACUUUUAUAUGAAAAAUCUAUAGUUAUCCAUACGUAAAAUAGAUGUGUGUUAGUUUAUUUGGAUCUCCAUUGGUGUAUCACUUGUUUACAUUUAUUUUAUUAGUUCUCAUUGUUAAAAACUAUUUUCCUAAGAAACUUAAUAAUGCAAUCUAGCUUUUAAAAAAAAUGUGACCUGAAAAAAAACUGUUUUUUUCUUUCAUCGAUUUUGGGAUGAGAGACCAAGAGUUUAGAGCCAUAAAAAUUAAACUAGCCUAACAAACAGUCAGUAGUCAUACUCAUAUAUACCAGAUUGAAUCCAUCUAUAUAAGUAUAGCAGUUUCUAUGUAUCAACUUUCACCAACUCGUUUCUUUCGCUAUUACUGUUAGUCACAUAUCGGAGAGUGACAAAGAGAAAGAUGCUGCUUAAACACAAGAGUAGACCGAUAAGAUUCCGCCCAGAAAAAUGAUUUGAGAUCCAAAAAAGAAAAGAAAAACGACGAAGGAAUUGAAGAAACCAUAACAACCCUACAAAACAUACAUAUUGGUAUUGUUCUUAGGUUUCGUACCAUUACACUAAAUGCAAAUAAUCUCAUUUUCUUUAACUAGUGUUAUACAUCACCAAAGCUAAACCGGCGUGUUAAACCAAAGGAAUUAGAAUCUGGUUUUUAGUGUACAAGAUUACAAGAUGAGUAGACGACACAAUUGUACAUCAGAUACAUCAUCAGACUAAUCACAUCCAG